rnacentral:lncRNA from 1 species
UUGAUAUACUAUUAGUAUAGUAUUGCUAUAUCAAGAACCAAGUUCUAACAAUAAGAUUUAGACAUCUCAUGCAGAAUCGAAUUUUUCAAUAGGGAAACCUGUUAAUGAUCAUGGAACAAUUAUACUAAUAAUUCUUUGAAUUCAAUGUCUUUACUCGACAACGUUAUGCUAUUUUAUAAUGGAACCAGUACAUUAGUUAAUGAUCUUCUUGAAAUAUUGCCAAAUCAAGGUUUGGAACUUCCCAAAGAUUCAAGGAGAAUUUUAAAAGCACCUUAUGAAAAGUGACUUAAAGACAGGAGCGUCAACUACGUCAAGUGUCAGUUGAUAUAUAUGUUUUGGUCAAAUACAUGUUUGUAUUUGCUCCUCCAAAAUUUGAAAGUCUGUGAUUCAAAAUUUCGCUUUUCCCAAAACAAAGUUAAAGAAAAUAUAUGAAGUCAAUGAUAAAUCUUAAAGUUUUACAAAGAGUAAU